CAUCACUGGUCUGUCACUUUAGGCGGGAUGAAAAUCAAAAACAUAUUCUGUGAAAAAUAUAAGUAGUAUUGCGGUGAAUUCUAUUACAAGUGUGAAAUUUUGAUAUUUAAAUUCGUUGCAUUUAUUAUAAAACCGUACUUUUCAGAGGAUGUCCCAUAACAACUAUUCAGUAGUUCAAUGCUCGUUUGAUGAGGAGGAAUCGUAUCUUUGCGUGCUGCCUUCUUCAUGGGUCGUGGAAAAAGGUUGGAACAAAGGUGUUCGUGAUAAAUUAACGGCAUUAGACGGAGGAGAUAUUUGUUACUGGCCGGCGAAAGCUGCUGGCUACCGAUUGCUAGAAAAGCCAAGAAAACUACCAACAUAAGCAUCGACAAAAAUUUGCUUAUCCCUUACCGACGCAAAAUUAAACGGAUUGGUUUUGAAACGUACAAUGAUGCAUGCAAAGAACAGAAGCUAAUGGAAAUGCGCUCAGAUACUGAUAAUAUACCGAAAAAGAGUAUGAAUACUGAUACAAGAGCUGCUGAUAUGUUUGCGGAAAUUCUUCUUCAAAAUGCCACAUUUAGUUCCGAGCUUAUCCGCAGAUGCUGGUGAUCAAACACCAACGAAUAAAAGAUAUCUGGCGGAAGGACUUACUGACGAUUCAUUCAACAGUGAUUUGGACGGUUCUGUGCAGAACGAGCACAUCCCUCUUAAACAACUAUCUUUGCAUCAAGGCAUCCUUCCACCUCGCAAAGAGCCCGUUUCAGAUUCGCAAGAGGAAACCAUCACAUUGAGAUCACUGUUCGAACGAGUACAGAACUUGGCGACUCAAUUGGAUCGGUGCUUGCUCAUGCCUUCACAAGUGAACGCAAAACUUGAUACAUUAGGCUCGCGUAACCAUUUGGUAGAGGCUAAUAACGAAGAUCAAAUUGAAGUGAAACAAAAUGUACUGCAGCCUGUCACGAAUCUUGCCGAGUUGGAAGCCGUUGAAGAAAUGUGUAGCGAUGAUAGGUUCGUUGAGAGUGUAAUCAAAUCGAUGGGCAAAUUACACGGUAAACAUCGUUUCACUGGCGCUGGCCAAACUGUAUGUUUGCAAUUGAUUGACUAUUUCAUAGAUCGACGAUUUUUACGGGACGUAUCAUGGACUGGUGUGAGCAAAACAAAAGAUAAACAUGGAAAACCAAAAACAAAGAUCCCUAGGGGCAGAUCACUCUAAGAAUGUAUAGCAAAUUUGCAUCAAAUUGAAAAAAAUGCAUUUAAUUUCCAUUUUUGCAUCAGCUUUGCACUGCCCCGCAGAAAAGUUUGUUUAACAAACGUCCUACGCUGAUCCACUUUAUUCGACAUUUUGUUAAAUGUACACGCUCGUAAAAAGUUACUCAGAUUCUGAGUACUUUUAACUCAGUUUUGAAUGAUGUUCGUAAACGUCAAAAAUUGAGUUGUCAUGUAUAAUAUCUCUGAGUAACUCUGACUCUAUUUUUGGGUAUUACACAAGAAACCGUUUUGGAGUUACCAAACGGAAAAGCCGUUUCUCGCCAAGUUAAAAAUUCCAAGCGUCA